CGAUGGGUGUUGAGCUUGAACGCUUUCUUAAUUGGUGGCUGCUUUUAGGCCUACUAUGGGUAUUAAAUUUUUUACUCUCUUUACAAGGUUUUUUCCUAGUGUCCAAAGAGCUGUUCCUCUUUGGACUAACAGUUAAAUUUACAAGGGGAUUUAGAAGGUUCUGUAGGUAAAUUUAAAGUUGAACUAAGAUUCUAUCUUGGACAACCAGCUAUCACCAGGCUCGAUAGGUUUGUCGCCUCUACCUAUAAAUCUUCCCACUAAUUUCUAUCGCCUAUACUUUAUUUGGGUAAAUGGUUUGGUUAAGGUUA
rnacentral:lncRNA from 1 species